CUCGGCGCAGGCUCCUCCGGCUCCGCCAGCCCGGCCGGGCGCAGAGGAAACGCGGCUGCCAGGGCGCCGUCGCGGCGGGAGGCGAGAGCGCGGGGAAGGGGCUCCUACUCACCCGGGCCGCCGCCGCCGCCGCCACCGCCACCACCGCCGCUUGGGCGGCCCAUCCCCGCGGCGGGGGCCUGUCGCCGCGCCGCGCCGCGUCGCUCCAGUCCCCACCGCCCGCCGGGCCGGCCCCUCCCCCUGCCCAACGUCUGCGCUCUGGGCCGAUCCUCAGACCCGGCCUCGGCCGCCGCCGCCGCCGCCGCCGCAGCGCUACGUGGCCGCCGCUCCGACGUCUCGCGACUCCCUUCCGAGCGCGCGAGGCCGAGCGGGGCCGCGGAGCGGGCGGCGCGCGGGGCGGGCGGCGGGGGAGGGGGUGUGCUGUAGGGAUGUCGUGCGCGAAGGGGGCAGGGAGGCCGGCGGGAGCGCGCGCGCGCGCACGCCCCUGCACGCGCCCCCCCUCCCCCCCGCGCGGUCGGGAUCCCGACACCUCCCCCCCUACACACCCCAUCCCCGGCUAUGGGGGUCGGCGCGCAUGCGCGGCCCUCGGCUCGGCCUGGGCGCACCUUUUCUCCCUCCUGCCACAAUGUGAGCGCUCAGCCGAGCAGAUAACCGCCGGCUGCCUGCUCCACCCCCGGCCCUUGCCCACUCCGCCCACUCCCGAGCGCCCAGGUAGAGAGAAGAUCUUCAAGCAGAAGAAGAGAAAAUAAGCAUGUAUAAUAAUCAAAUUCAGGGGCUGGUGAGAUGGCUCAGUGGUUAAGAGCACCCGACUGUUCUUCCGAAGGUCAGGAGUUCAAAUCCCAGCAACCACAUGGUGGCUCACAACCAUCUGUAACAAGAUCUGACUCCCUCUUCUGGAGUGUCUGAAGACAGCUACAGUGUACUUACAUAUAAUAAAUAAAUAAAUCUUUAAAAAAAAAUAAUCA
rnacentral:lncRNA from 1 species